UGAUAGAGGAGGAUAGAGGGAGAAAGGGAGUGUCUGAUAGAGGAGGAGGAUAUAGGGAGAAAGGGAGUGUCUGACAGAAGAGGAGGAUAGAGAGAGUGAGGCAGUUCCACAGGCAGACGAUAGAAGCGGAUUGAUCUCUCUCUCGCGCGCUGUAGUCGGUCCUGUCUACCGGGAGAUGCUCGAGCGUUCCUGAUUUUUCCACUCUAACCACCGCUAAAUCCCCGUUAGAGCUCGUUACCUCCACUGUACUGUUUUCGGUAGUUUGAGGGGGGUGUAAAUCGCGUGUCGUCUUGUCUGGGAACAUAAGGCUAACCAGGGCUACAGAUCAUCUGGAUCAGAACUUCACGACUAGAAGCACCAGGUCUCCGGUAAAACGAUGGAGGACUUGGAUCUUCCCCAGAUGAAGAGGGAGGGAGAGUCUUCAGUACCAGCUGGCCAUCAACUUAGAGAAAUCCUCCAUCACGGUUACUGAGCUGGUGAAGUGGAUCGAGGGGUGUG